AGGGAAUCUUCCGCAAUGGGCGAAAGCCUGACGGAGCAACGCCGCGUGAGUGAUGAAGGUCUUCGGAUCGUAAAACUCUGUUAUUAGGGAAGAACAUAUGUGUAAGUAACUGUGCACAUCUUGACGGUACCUAAUCAGAAAGCCACGGCUAACUACGUGCCAGCAGCCGCGGUAAUACGUAGGUGGCAAGCGUUAUCCGGAAUUAUUGGGCGUAAAGCGCGCGUAGGCGGUUUUUUAAGUCUGAUGUGAAAGCCCACGGCUCAACCGUGGAGGGUCAUUGGAAACUGGAAAACUUGAGUGCAGAAGAGGAAAGUGGAAUUCCAUGUGUAGCGGUGAAAUGCGCAGAGACAUGGAGGAACACCAGUGGCGAAGGCGACUUUCUGGUCUGUAACUGACGCUGAUGUGCGAAAGCGUGGGGAUCAAACAGGAUUAGAUACCCUGGUAGUCCACGCCGUAAACGAUGAGUGCUAAGUGUUAGGGGGUUUCCGCCCCUUAGUGCUGCAGCUAACGCAUUAAGCACUCCGCCUGGGGAGUACGACCGCAAGGUUG
rnacentral:rRNA from 1 species